CCGAAGCAUAAACCAAGCAUUACAAAUUUCAUGUGGUAUUAUUAUAGACAUAUAAAAAUGUAUGCAGAUGAAGAUUCUAGGGUUUAUACGAUUUAUUUUCGUAUGAACAACCCUCCUUCACUAAAAGUGGAUUAACUAAAUCUAAAUAUGUCCAACUGAAACAUAAUGACAAAGUGGAGUUUAUCCAAAAAACAUACGGUCCAAAAGUUAAAGAUUAGAACCCUGCUGUCGAUGUUUUGUACCGAUCGAUUGAUGAUAUUAAUUACACACGAGUUAUGAUACCAAAGCAACUACUUACUAAAAAGAAGAAUCCUCUGGUUUCUCAUGCAAGUGACUUCGACGUAGAUUCAGUGAUGUCAUGUAGUGCGGUGAACUCUCAUCACGAAGCACAUGAUACAUCAUCAGUAGCAGAUCUAUCUUCCAACAAUGAAUGUUCUAGUGCCAGAUUCAUCUGAAUCAAACAUCCACUGAAGAUUAUCCAUUGUCCAAACGAAAAAAUUGAUG